AUCUACAGCCAAACCACCCUGAACACACCUAAUCUUGUCUGAUCUUGGAAGCUAAGCAGGGUCUGGUCUGGUUAGUACUUGGAUGGGAGAAAAAUGAUAUCUGUAGGAA
rnacentral:rRNA from 1 species